GACGAACGCUGGCGGCGUGCUUAACACAUGCAAGUCGAACGAAGAGCGAUGGAAGCUUGCUUCUAUCAAUCUUAGUGGCGAACGGGUGAGUAACGCGUAAUCAACCUGCCCUUCAGAGGGGGACAACAGUUGGAAACGACUGCUAAUGCCGCAUACGAUCUGACCUCGGCAUCGAGGAUAGAUGAAAGGUGGCCUCUAUUUAUAAGCUAUCACUGAAGGAGGGGAUUGCGUCGGAUUGGCUAGUUGGAGGGGUAACGGCCCACCAAGGCGAUGAUCAGUAGCCGGUCUGAGAGGAUGAACAGCCACAUUGGGACUGAGACACGGCCCAGACUCCUACGGGAGGCAGCAGUGGGGAUUCUUCCGCAAUGGACGAAAGUCUGACGGAGCAACGCCGCGUGAGUGAUGACGGCCUUCGGGUUGUAAAGCUCUGUUAAUCGGGACGAAAGGCCUUCUUGCGAAUAGUUAGAAGGAUUGACGGUACCGGAAUAGAAAGCCACGGCUAACUACGUG
rnacentral:rRNA from 1 species